rnacentral:rRNA from 1 species
GACGUAGGGCGCGAGCGUUGUCCGGAUUUAUUGGGCGUAAAGAGCUCGUAGGCGGCUUGUCGCGUCGUCCGUGAAAACCUGCGGCUCAACUGCAGGCUGGCGGUCGAUACGGGCAGGCUGGAGUACUGCAGGGGAGACUGGAAUUCCUGGUGUAGCGGUGGAAUGCGCAGAUAUCAGGAGGAACACCGGUGGCGAAGGCGGGUCUCUGGGCAGUAACUGACGCUGAGGAGCGAAAGCGUGGGGAGCGAACAGG